AUUGAAGAGUUUGAUCAUGGCUCAGAUUGAACGCUGGCGGCAGGCCUAACACAUGCAAGUCGAACGGUAACAGGAAGAAGCUUGCUUCUUUGCUGACGAGUGGCGGACGGGUGAGUAAUGUCUGGGAAACUGCCUGAUGGAGGGGGAUAACUACUGGAAACGGUAGCUAAUACCGCAUAACGUCGCAAGACCAAAGAGGGGGACCUUCUGGCCUCUUGCCAUCGGAUGUGCCCAGAUGGGAUUAGCUAGUAGGUGGGGUAACGGCUCACCUAGGCGACGAUCCCUAGCUGGUCUGAGAGGAUGACCAGCCACACUGGAACUGAGACACGGUCCAGACUCCUACGGGAGGCAGCAGUGGGGAAUAUUGCACAAUGGGCGCAAGCCUGAUG
rnacentral:rRNA from 1 species